GCGCAGGUGGCGGAAUUGGUAUACGCACUAGCUUGAGGGGCUAGCGGGGGCAACCCCAUGGAGGUUCAAAUCCUCUCCUGCGCACCA
rnacentral:tRNA from 1 species